CCGGGAAGCCGGCCGUCUGCCCGCGCUCUCGCGUUCACCUCCAGCAGCUGUCGCGCAUCGCCGAGCUGCUGUGCUCUGCUGAGUACAGAACCGAACCACAGACCGCGGCGUGCGUGGGGCCUGCGCGCGUCGCGCCCGAGCCAGCGCUGCGGGCCGCUCGGCCCGGGGCGGGGUCGGGGAGCGGGGCCUCGACCGGAGCUGCAGCCCGGGACGCGGAGGGAGGCUCCCCGGAGCCCCAGCUGCGCCCGCCUAAGCCGCCGCGGGCUCCCUCGGCCACGGACUUUGCACGGAAGCCCCUGGAAGGCCCAGCUCUUCAGCCAGACCGGAACCGCGACCCAGCAGAGCCUCGGCGGUGCCGGCCGGAACCUCCUCCCGGGCUUCCUCAGGCGGAGACUUUGCCUCACUUUGAAGGCUCGGACAGAGUGGAAACUUCAGGGAACCGUGAAAUAGGACCUGAAAGCCAGCAACAGGAGACAGAUGUGACCAGGUCCCCCAGACUCUGCUUGGGAGGGGGAGGAGAGGGAUUGGUUUUGUUUUCCCUUUUUUUUUCCUCAGUACUGUACAGGGAAUCAACCCAGGACCUUCACACUGAGCUACGUCCCCAGUCCUUUUUUAUUUUGAGAAAAGGUCUCAGUAUGUCUGGGAAUUGCCCUGGCUGAGCUCAAAUUUGUAGCCCUCCUACCUCAGCCUGCCAAGAGUAUUGAUUGGUAUUGGAAAGUUGGAGACUCAAUUCUUUCUCCUUCCUUCCUUUCUUCUUUCUUUCUUCCUUUUUUUCCUUCCUCUUCCUUUUUCUUCUUCCUUUUUUUUUUUUUUUUUUUUGGUACCGAGGAUUGAACUCGGGUCCUUGCUCUUGGGCAGCAGGCAGCGAAACCACUGAGCUAAAUCCCCGGCCCCCUCGUCCUUUUUCAACAGGGUCUCGCUAUGUGGUUCAGGCUGCCCUUGAACUCAAGCUGGCUCGAACUCACAACCCUCCUGCCUCAGCCUCUCGAGUGCUGGGAGUACAUCUCACUGACCGAGGACCAUUUCUCUCAGCUGAGAGGUUGGGACUGAGGCUGUGUGUCGGUGACGAGCCCAAAGCCCCCGAGUGUGAUGUUGGGGACGGCUCCGCCCAGCAGCACCUGUGGACCGGGAGAAAGCCGGAGCACCUGCCUGUGAGCUUUCCUGCCUCUACCUAGGAAGCAAGCGUCCUCUACAGGAGCCCCAAAGGGACAGAGUCUUGGGGAGACAGCCCUGGCCUCAGACAGCCAACUUGGAGUCAAGACAAACAGUCUUACCAUCCAGCCAGAGCACUGCCACUCCUCUGACUGCACAUGGAUGCUCUCCCAGCCCAGACACACUCCCUGUCACUGCUGGUGCUGUGUGUGCAGAUGGCUGGCUCCCUGCGGCCCAGGACCACAGCCCACUGUCUCCUCCCCACAGCACCAGAAGUAGGAAAGUGCACAGGAAAGACGCGGUAGCCAGAAGCACAAACUCUGCAUCCGAUUUGAUCAUAAACCAGCACCGGUGGAGAAUUCGGGUGAAUUGUGGUGCAUCUGUAAGGCAGAAUGCUAAAGCAACUCCUAAAUGGGUAUUGUGAACUCCUGUGGAUUGCCAUGGGAAAAUGAUAUCUUUUCUGAGUGGGAGAAGCAAGGUAUACAACAAAACCGUAUGGACACAAUACUAUUUACAUACACACAUGCACUGUUCAAGGAAAAACUUUUGGAGGGAGAUCUUCCAAAAGAUUGACUCUGCUUAUUUUUAGAAAAUGAGAUAAGUACUACACACUUGUUGAAUGGGGGGGGGAUGCUCCAAUAGAUG
rnacentral:lncRNA from 1 species